ensembl:lncRNA
CAACACGUAAAAUCAUCAUACACAAAUACCAUUGACUAAACUGCUCCCUUUCUUCUCAUAUUUCAUUAUCAGAACAGGUUACCCAGGGAUGGGAGGGAAUCUCCAUUGCCCGGAGUCUCUAAAUCAGAGCUGGCUCUCUUUCUAAGGAGUAUGCUUUCACCAAACUGCAUGGUGUUGAGCUGGACGUGGGGAUCACCAGGGAAAACUGAAGCACUCCCUUAUGCAGGUGGACAGAUGAGAUGGCUGUAAUGAUCCUGCUGGCCUUAAAGCCUGCAAAACUACUGUUGCUACUCUUCUUGUACCAACACAGAAAUAAGAAAACUGAUUGAUAAAAUGUAUCUCUCUUCCUUCCUGAAAUCUCUCUGAAGUUCAGGACUGUGAUAUGCAUUGCGCACAUUGAUCUAUUCCAGAAGUGCUAGAUCCAGACUGCAUGGAAAACUGAAUUACUUUCCCCACCUGGGCCCCUUAACCUGCUACUGUCUGUGGAAACCUGAGUAAAGACUGCCCAGAUCUAUGAUGAUCAAUGGAAAAGGGCUCUCUGCUAGCCAAGAAGGAAGAGGUGUGCAGAGCUGAAGCCCUUACCGGAGAUUCUCUGCUCUCCUGGUUGCAGCUGCCACUUGUGGCCAGAAGAAGGGAAUCACGGAGCCUCUGCAAUGACAUCUCACUUUGCAACAGUUUCUCCUGAUGCUUUGCUAGGCCCAUCCUGGGGCUUGUCUACACCAGCAACCAGCUGUGACUCACCUGGGCUGAUCACCCUCAUUUGCCUAUCUGGUGGCCAGGGGGAGAGUGCACUCUAGGAAUGCAGGGUUGGCACCAGAGGUCAUGCUGCUGCCUGUGGCCAGCCUGGCUAUUUGCGUGGCCAUAAGAUAGAUCAGAGAGCUGGUUCAGCUGAAGAAUAACCAUCUUCUUCCAUGGCAUCGGCUGUGUUCCCGGCUGGCGCGGCAUACGGUUGCAGGCACGCUUGUACCAGUGGAGCGCAGCACCUAUCCUGCAAAAUGUGUAGUUAUCCCUAUUUUACUACUGGGAGAAAGAAUAUACAGGAAAGAGGCCAGAGAGGCUACGGGUCUUGGUCAAGGCUACAGCGGUCCUAUAGCGGAUCUAUGGCUGAGCUGCUGGGUCAUGAACGUGUGGAGCGAGAUGCCUGGGUCCACAGCAUCCCACAUUCUAAACACAAUGGUGUGCGCAGGCUCACGUGAAGGAUGUUUCCUGCGGCAAGUUAUAACUGGACGACCACUGGAACAGCGCGAAUGCAGAACAGGACAUUUUAACUGGAAAGCAACCCAGCAGGCCGGGGGAAAGAAAUUCAGAUGUCAUAUUGCUGGUUCUGGCUACAGUACAUAGACAUUAUGAAAAGACAGCACCAGGAGACCUUAAGGAGAAACAGUGAACCAGAAGUCCUUGGAUAUGUCUACCAUGCCGGCUACACCAAUCACUUCCCUGCUGUGCAGCAUUGCUAUUUGUUUUAUAUGCAUACGACAUUGCAGUUACCAAAAGGUAUGGGUACUGUCAGGGGCAACGUCUGUUCGGUGUCUUUCUCACACUGUGGUGGCACCCAUAGAAGUCAAUGGGCAUACCUGAUGUCUCUUGCCCCAACCUACAGCUGACUCCACCUGGGUAUACCUGUUGGUCAACAGUUUUCUGCUUAGUGACUGGACAGUGAUUGGAGGAAACAGCUAGCCAUCAAAUCCCACGUGAGUGGAGCAAGUGGCACCUAUGCAUCAAAGAACAUUCAAGAACAUGCCAGAAUCAUCUUGAACCUGCCAGAGCCACCAGGUAAUAUUAUGACCACACUUCUGAUUUGAUCACAGCUAUAAAUAACCACCAGGGGCUUCUGAACCUGGAGUUUGCCUCAUUGGAUGCAGCUGGUCUGCUAAAGUGACAAACUCCCCUCAGAUCGGGACACCACCCCGGGAAAUUCCCGCUGGGAUUUAAAUCCCUCUCCGCAUGGUUGCGUGAGUGUUUGGUGCACCUAUUGGAUGGUUGUUGUCCAAUCCAUGAAAGCAAAGCUUCUUCGUUAAAGGGGACUGUGAUGGUCCAAACCACAGAAGUGAGAGCUUCCUUGCUCUUUACUGCUUUUCCCUUUUGAAAGUAGCUUCUUACCCUUCUUUUGUCUGUUAUUUUGUUUCUGUUUCUUUCCCUGGGCCAUAACAUAUGAAUAUAUGUAAAUAGCUUAUAUAUGUAAAUACUUUGAUAAAUAUGUUUACUAGUUAAUUACUUUAUUUGUUAUCAAACCCAUUCAUUGAUAGUAGGAACGCCUAUACUGAUAUCUGAAUCUGUUAUCUGUUACAGUUCAGUAAGCUAUCUAAUGAUACCUUUAAACUGGUUUGGUACUUAGUCCUUUUAUGAUAUGCACAAAAACUCUUUGAGGAAGAUAGCACUGUUUGAUCCAUUUCACAGGCAAGGAAGUGAGGAAGCGAAGGCUAAGUAGAAGACAGAAUCAUGGAACUGUCCCAGCUAGCUCCUUUUAGGGUUGCAUGGUAUCCCUAAAUCAACUGAUUUCCUCACAUUUAAAAAAAAAACAAUAACAACAAAAAACCCCCCUUAGAUAAUAUACAGUGUUUGCCAGAACAGAAUAACUUACACAACAAAGGCCAAAUGCCACUCCUUAACAGUAGACGCCCAGAAGAGUCAGGUCGCAUUUUUGAAAGGGUGGGAGUAGAUUUGCAAAAAUCUUAUUUUCCUGAGGUUUGCAUGGGAUUUACAAGCGCAAAACAGAUAGAAUGAACUUUCCAGAGAAGAAACAAUCACAGACAAAUUUACUCCUUUUAAAAAAAAUGAAUAUCUGCUAUGCUUUUCACUUCUUUAGUACUUGCACUUAGUUGUUUAGGAACAGAUUCAUAUGACAUUUAUUUCACACAGGACUUUCAUUCUUAAAAGUUGUAGCUACAGUGUGGGAGACUACUCCUUUGCCACAGUGUAGCAGGUGUGUCCCUCUGAGAAUCUCAAAACACUUGAUAAAUCCCCCUGUAAUUAAUUCAUAGAGUAUUCUACAGAAUAUCUGUGGACUGGUAGGUGAUUUUUAAAUAAAAGAUCAGGAGAAUUGGGCA